rnacentral:rRNA from 1 species
AUUGAACGCUGGCGGCAUGCCUUACACAUGCAAGUCGAACGGUAACAGGUCUUCGGAUGCUGACGAGUGGCAAACGGGUGAGUAAUACAUCGGAACGUGCCCGAUCGUGGGGGAUAACGAAGCGAAAGCUUUGCUAAUACCGCAUAAGAUCUACGGAUGAAAGCAGGGGACCGCAAGGCCUUGCGCGAACGGAGCGGCCGAUGGCAGAUUAGGUAGUUGGUGGGAUAAAAGCUUACCAAGCCGACGAUCUGUAGCUGGUCUGAGAGGACGACCAGACACACUGGGACUGAGACACGGCCCCGACUCCUACGGGAGGCAGCAGUGGGGAAGUUGGGACAAUGGGCGAAGGCUGAUCCAGCCAUGCCGCGUGCAGGAUGAAGGCCUUCGGGUUGUAAUCUGCUUUUGUACGGAACGAAAAGACUCUGGUUAAUACCUGGGGUUCAUGACGGUACCGUAAGAAUAAGCACCGGCUAACUACGUGCCAGCCGCCGCGGUAACAC